GGCCACAUUUUGUUGAAACACCGGUUCACAUAUAAUCAUGGAAGUUAAGCAAUGUUGAGCCUAGUCAGUACCUAGAUGGGUGACCUCUUGGGAAUAUCAGGUGCUGUAA